rnacentral:rRNA from 1 species
CAAUAGCGUAUAUUUAAGUUGUUACAGUUAAAAAGCUCGUAGUUGGAUUUCGGGUGGGACGCAGCGGUCUCGCAUUGCGUUUGUACUGCUGCAGCCCUCCUUCUUGCCGGGGGCGGCCUCUCGGACUUCACUGUCUGGGGGUCAGAAUCGGCGAUGUUACUUUGAGUAAAUUAGAGUGUUCAAAGCAAGCUUACGCUCUGAAUAUAAUAGCAUGGGAUAACACGACAGGACUCUGGCCUAUCGUGUUGGUCUAUAGGACCAGAGUAAUGAUUAAGAGGGACAGUCGGGGGCAUUCGUAUUCCGUUGUCAGAGGUGAAAUUCUUGGAUUUACGGAAGACGAACAUCUGCGAAAGCAUUUGCCAAGGAUGUUUUCAUUGA